rnacentral:rRNA from 1 species
CUACGGGAUGCACCAGUGAGGAAUAUUGCACAAUGGGGGGAACCCUGAUGCAGCAACGCCGCGUGGAGGAUGACGCAUUUCGGUGUGUAAACUCCUUUUAUAUGUCAAGAAAAUGACGGUAGCAUAUGAAUAAGCACCGGCUAACUCCGUGCCAGCAGCCGCGGUAAUACGGAGGGGUGCAAGCGUUACUCGGAAUCACUGGGCGUAAAGGACGCGUAGGCGGGUUGGAAAGUCAGGUGUGAAAUCCUACAGCUUAACUGUAGAACUGCACUUGAAACUUCUAAUCUAGAGUAUGGGAGGGGGAGAUGGAAUUAGUGGUGUAGGGGUAAAAUCCGUAGAUAUCACUAGGAAUACCUAAAGCGAAGGCGAUCUCCUGGAACAUUACUGACGCUAAGGCGUGAAAGCAUGGGGAGCAAACAGGAUUAGAUACCCCAGUAGUC